rnacentral:rRNA from 1 species
AACCCAAUGUGAACGUUACCAAACUGUUGCCUCGGCGGGGUCACGCCCCGGGUGCGUCGCAGCCCCGGAACCAGGCGCCCGCCGGAGGAACCAACCAAACUCUUUCUGUAGUCCCCUCGCGGACGUAUUUCUUACAGCUCUGAGCAAAAAUUCAAAAUGAAUCAAAACUUUCAACAACGGAUCUCUUGGUUCUGGCAUCGAUGAAGAACGCAGCGAAAUGCGAUAAGUAAUGUGAAUUGCAGAAUUCAGUGAAUCAUCGAAUCUUUGAACGCACAUUGCGCCCGCCAGUAUUCUGGCGGGCAUGCCUGUCCGAGCGUCAUUUCAACCCUCGAACCCCUCCGGGGGAUCGGCGUUGGGGAUCGGGACCCCUCACACGGGUGCCGGCCCCUAAAUACAGUGGCGGUCUCGCCGCAGCCUCUCCUGCGCAGUAGUUUGCACAACUCGCACCGGGAGCGCGGCGCGUCCACGUCCGUAAAACACCCAACUUUCUGAAAUGUUGACCUCGGAUCAGGUAGGAAUACCCGCUGAACUUAA